CUGCAGCCAAUUAAACAAACCAGGUUCAUUCAGUCUUGGGGGUCUGAAGGUAAGGGCUGCACACAGCGGCCUAUUUGGGAGUAUGCGUAGCCUGUUACCUUUACAGGUUAUCCUAACAGACCUGGAGACAGUU